GACGAACGCUGGCGGCGUGCUUAACACAUGCAAGUCGAACGGAAAUGCCCUGCGUUUGAGCGGUGCUCGAGUGGCUAACGGGUGAGUAACUCGUGAUUAACCUGCCCUUGACUUUGGGAUAACUUCAGGAAACUGGGGCUAAUACCGGAUAGGAGCUCCUGCUGCAUGGUGGUGGUUGGAAAGUUUCGGCGGUUGGGGAUGGACUCGUGGCUUAUCAGCUUGUUGGUGGGGUAGUGGCUUACCAAGGCUUUGACGGGUAGCCGGCCUGAGAGGGUGACCGGCCACAUUAGGACUGAGAUACGGCACAGACUCGUACGGGAGGCAGCAGUGGAGAAUAUUACACAAUGGGCGGAAGCCUGAUGCAGCAACGCCGCGUGCGGGAUGACGGGCUUCGGGUUGUAAACCGCAGUCGCCUGUGACGAAGCGUGAGUGACGGUAAUGGGUAAAGAAGCACCGGCUAACUACGUG
rnacentral:rRNA from 1 species